ACCUAAAAGAAAGAAAAAAUUCCCGAAAAACAAAAACAGAAAAGGAAAGAAACAAAAAAUCGCGCGUACACAAAUGUAUUCGGCAUAUCCUGAUGAUUGUUCGUCUUCUUGAUUAUGAUCGUCGGCUCUCCUUAAAUUCCCAUGAUCAUCAGCAAAAG
rnacentral:ribozyme from 1 species